rnacentral:misc_RNA from 1 species
UGUGUUCUUGUCCUGACACUGUGCUG